rnacentral:rRNA from 1 species
AUUGAACGCUGGCGGCAUGCCUUACACAUGCAAGUCGAACGGUAACGCGGGGCAAUCUGGCGCCGAGUGGCGAACGGGUGAGUAAUGUAUCGGAACGUGCCCAGUUGUGGGGGAUAACUGCCCGAAAGAGCAGCUAAUACCGCAUACGACCUGAGGGUGAAAGCGGGGGAUCGCAAGACCUCGCGCAAUUGCAGCGGCCGAUAUCAGAUUAGGUAGUUGGUGGGGUAAAGGCCCACCAAGCCAACGAUCUGUAGCUGGUCUGAGAGGACGACCAGCCACACUGGGACUGAGACACGGCCCAGACUCCUACGGGAGGCAGCAGUGGGGAAUUUUGGACAAUGGACGCAAGUCUGAUCCAGCCAUGCCGCGUGCGGGAAGAAGGCCUUCGGGUUGUAAACCGCUUUUGUCAGGGAAGAAACGCUCUGGGUUAAUACCUCGGGGUAAUGACGGUACCUGAAGAAUAAGCACCGGCUAACUACGUGCCAGCAGCCGCAGUAAUAC